rnacentral:rRNA from 1 species
GAUGAACGCUGGCGGCGUGCUUAACACAUGCAAGUCGAACGAGAAGUGGAGACGGAAACCUUCGGGCGGAAGACUUUAUUUCGAGUGGCGGACGGGUGAGUAACGCGUGGGUAACCUGCCUCAUACAGGGGGAUAACAGUUGGAAACGACUGUUAAUACCGCAUAAGACCACAGCACCGCAUGGUGCGGGGGUAAAAACUCCGGUGGUAUGAGAUGGACCCGCGUUCGAUUAGCCAGUUGGCGGGGUAACGGCCCACCAGAGCGACGAUCGAUAGCCGAUCUGAGAGGAUGACCGGCCACAUUGGGACUGAGACACGGCCCAAACUCCUACGGGAGGCAGCAGUGGGGAAUAUUGCACAAUGGGGGAAACCCUGAUGCAGCGACGCCGCGUGAGUGAAGAAGUAUUUCGGUAUGUAAAGCUCUAUCAGCAGGGAAGAAAAUGACGGUACCUGAGUAAGAAGCCCCGGCUAACUACGUG